AGACCCGAAACCCGGUGAUCUAGCCAUGGGCAGGUUGAAGGUUGGGUAACACUAACUGGAGGACCGAACCGACUAAUGUUGAAAAAUUAGCGGAUGACCUGUGGCUGGGGGUGAAAGGCCAAUCAAACCGGGAGAUAGCUGGUUCUCCCCGAAAGCUAUUUAGGUAGCGCCUCGUGAAUUCAUCUCCGGGGGUAGAGCACUGUUUCGGCUAGGGGGCCAUCCCGGCUUACCAACCCGAUGCAAACUGCGAAUACCGGAGAAUGUUAUCACGGGAGACACACGGCGGGUGCUAACGUCCGUCGUGAAGAGGGAAACAACCCAGACCGCCAGCUAAGGUCCCAAAGUCAUGGUUAAGUGGGAAACGAUGUGGGAAGGCCCAGACAGCCAGGAUGUUGGCUUAGAAGCAGCCAUCAUUUAAAGAAAGCGUAAUAGCUCACUGGUCGAGUCGGCCUGCGCGGAAGAUGUAACGGGGCUAAACCAUGCACCGAAGCUGCGGCAGCGACACUCAGGUGUUGUUGGGUAGGGGAGCGUUCUGUAAGUCUGCGAAGGUGGCCUGUGAGGGUUGCUGGAGGUAUCAGAAGUGCGAAUGCUGACAUAAGUAACGAUAAAGCGGGUGAAAAGCCCGCUCGCCGGAAGACCAAGGGUUCCUGUCCAACGUUAAU
rnacentral:rRNA from 2 species